UGGAUCCGUUAGGAACCACCCUUUAUUGCGAGAACCGCGAAAACCAAUGUUUUUCUAUCAUUUUCCAAAGGCAUUAAUUUCUAUGUUUUUAUUAGAGGUUCCAUCAUUUUCCAAAGGCAUUAAUUUCUAUGUUUUUCUUAGAGGUUCCAUCAUUUUUCAAAGGCAUUAGUUUCUAUUUGUAUACUCUCUUAAAAGAACUUUGAUCUUGUUUAGUUCACAACAUAGAAUCAACUCGAAGUAGAAUUAAUAUGAAUUUACACUAGAAACGUUUGUUUGGCUGUUGUGAUGAAACUGGAAUUCUUUUCCUUCGUCAAUGGAUUUUAGCAUUCCAUUAUCGUAGUGAAGGAAUUCCAGUAGUUCACCAAAACAUUUUUCGAGGCAUAUAUUCACUAAUUCUCUAAAUCAAACUCAUAAACAUAUAAUAUGUUCAUCUAAUUAAGACAUAUAACAUUCAAGGGAUUCAACAAUUUAUCUCCUAAGAAAUUGGAGGUUGGCGGUGACUAAGAAGAAGAAGAAGGGUCAUGACUAGAGACAUGGAUGUGGUGGUCGGUUGGGUGGCACAGCUACAGUCGUGGGCAGGUUUGGAUUGGCGGAGGCUGUGAUGCAACUUAGUUCUGUGUGGGAACUAGGUUGAUAUGUUACAAUGAUUAACAUCCCUAAUAUGUUUUUCAAGUUUGCAUUUUAAACUAAAGAACAAACCAAAACUAAAAAAAAAAACGUCAGGAUUCGGCUUCAAACUCGAAACAUUAUAUAAAGUUUCAUCUAGGGCUGCAAACGAAUCGAACGGACACGAACAAGACCUUGUUCGUGUUCAUUUGUUAAGAAAUAUAUGUGUUCGCGAACCAUUCACGAACACUUGUCGAACGAGAUAUGUUCAUGUUCGUUUGUUAAGGAAAUGAAUUUGUUCGUGU
rnacentral:lncRNA from 1 species